ensembl:lncRNA LINC00240 long intergenic non-protein coding RNA 240
GGAUGUCCUUUACAAGAGCAGAUCCCCCAAAAUGUAAGAGUUCACUGAAAAGGUAGGAGCUCAAACCAAGAGAGGACUUAUCUCGCAGCAUAAAGACAACUUGUACAAGUGAAGAUCACAAUGGGCUCAGAAAUGCUUGAGUGUCUCCAUUGUCAAAACGAUCAGAAGGCAGUAAUUGUAUUUCCAAUGUGAGGACAAACAAUACUAGAUAUCCUGCAAUCCUACAUUGUAAAAAAUAUUCCCAUCAAAUGCCCCAAUGGAUAGACACGAGAAGCCAGCUCCCAUGUUAAGAAGUUCAAAUACCUAGAGACUGCGAUGGUUUGCAGAGGCUCAAGCUAACCACAUGGAAAGACAUGGAGAGAUAUUCCUUGCCAACCCUCAACUACUCCAACUAUUCUAAGACAUCAAACCUGUGAGUGAAAAAGCCAUCUCAUACCUUACAACUCUAGCAGAUGCCACAUAGUGUAGAGAUAAGCUCUCUCUGUCAUUCUCUGUCAAAAUUGUAAAAUCAUAAGCAAAUAAAUAAUCACAGUUGCUUCAAGUUACUACAUUUGAGCAUAGUAUUUUAAGCCACUGCAUUUGAGAUGGUUUGUUAUACAGCAAUAGAUAACUAAAAAACAAAGUCCCUUGAUUUAGACUUGUCCACUCAACUUGCUUGGCCAAUGGAAUGGGGUAGAAGUGAUGGUGUGCUUAUUCCCAGCCUGGGCCUUAAAAGGCUUUGCCUAUUUCCACUUGCCUUCUUGUACUUCUGCUAUUGUCAUAAGAAAAACAAACCGCAGGUCACCCACCGGUCUGAAGAGGAGGAUGAGAGACAAAGAAAAAAGUUGUCUGGCUGCCUCUGCUGUCUACAGAUUGAAGAAGAUCCAUCCAGCUGAGCCCAGCCUAGACCAGCUGACUUCUCCAAUAAGCCUGUAUGAAAUAAAUGCUUAUUGUUAUGUGA